AGUGUCAUAAGGUGAGUUUAGAAUCUUGGAAUUCUUUCCAAAUAUGGCUCCAACAUAAACGUCUUAGGCAUCCUCCUUUCGGUAUGCUUAGGUCCUUUUUCCCUCAUUUAUUUAACAAAGUGCCUGCUGAGUUGUUUCAUCGUGAUGUGUGCGAGUUUGCCAAAUCUCAUCGAGGCAACCUAUUCCCCGAGUGAUACUAGGAGUUUCGAACCUUUUGAUCUUUUUCACUCUGAUUGGUGGGGACCUUCAUCAGUUUCUAAUAUUUCUGGUGCAAAAUGGUUUGCUAUUUUUAUUGAUGACUGUUCUCGGGUCACAUGGGUUUGUCUUAUGAAAGAUAAGUCUGAGGUGUUUCAAUUGUUUGUUAACUUUUUCCACAUGGUUAGAACACAGUUUGAGAGAACUAUUAAAAGGUUACAGUCAGACUUGUGUUGACACCCCACAACAAAAUGGGGUUGCUGAAAGGAAAAAAACGUCAUCUUCUUGAUGUAACCCGAGCAUUACGCUUUCAAAAGAACGUUCCUAAUCAAUAGAUUACCUCCUAGUGUUUUAUCUGGUGCUAGUCCUGUGCAGUUUAUGACUAAUUUCUUUCAGUCUUUGCCCAUUUUAUCAAGUCUUCAGAGCUGUGUCUUUGGUUGUUCUGCCUUUGUCCAUGUUCAUGGUCGUAAUCAGGGUAAGUUAGAUCCUCAGGCCAUUAAAUGUCUCUUCACAGGACAUGCUUCACAUAAAAGGGGGUACAAGUGUUAUCAUCGUCCUAGUCGUCUUGUCUAUAUAUCCAUGGAUGUUACUUUUCAGGAAACAGAGUCGUUUUAUCCCAGUCCCCAACUUCAGGGGGAGAGUAGUCAAGAAGCCAAGUCUCCAAUGUUGUCUGUUAUUCCUCUAAUACAUGAGCCUUUGAUGUCUUCCUCCAUUCCUACCACUGAGGACAAUGGUGAUAAUGUUGGUGAUGACAAUGAUGGUGAUGAUAAUGAUGGUAAUGACGAUGAUGGUGCAGAGUAAUGUUGACAGAUACAGGAUAAAGUUCCUGCUGAAAGUGAAACCCAUUCUGGUCCAAUAACAAGUCCAAUCGUCUGAACCUGAGAUCUUGUGCCAAAUACCCCAUAUCCAAGUUUGUGCCUACAAAAGACCUUCCUGUGCAGCAUCAGUUAUUUCAGCUAUUGACUCUAUCAGAGUACUUGCAUCAGUACAAGAAGCAUUAAAAGAUAGGAACUGGAUUAAAGCCAUGAAUAUAUACAGUGAAGUAUCGAUCAGAUGGCACACUAGACAGGUAUAAGGUGAGGCUUGUUGUAGAGGGAUACACUCAGACCUAUGGAAUUGAUAAUGGGGAGACGGUUUCUCUAGGGGCAAAAAUAAAUACGGUAGGGAUCAUUCUUUCCUUGGAAGCUCACUUUGAUUGGGAGUUGCAACAAUUUGAUGUUAAAAAUGCUUUGAGAUUCCACCGGGGUUCGACCUUAUCUUAGAAAACUAGGGUGAUCAUACCCUUUUCAUAAAACAUGCUCAAAGUGGCAAACUCACGCUUCUGUUAGUCUAUGUAGACGAUAUGAUCAUUGCGGGUAAUGAUGAACUUGAGAAGCAAAAACUGAGAAAGGAGUUGGAAGCCCAGUUUGAAAUGACGGACCUUGGAAAGCUCAAAUAUUUCCUAGGAAUGGAGGUGGCAUACUCGAGAAAAGGAAUUUUUAUUUGUCAAGGGAAAUAUGUCCUUGAUCUUUUUAAACAGACUGGCGAAUUGGCUUGUAACCCCACUGGAGUUCCUAUAGAGCAAAACCACAGGAUUGGGAGUGAUGAGGAGAGCUCAAGGGUUUAUAAGUCCCAAUAUCAGAGACUUGUGGGAAAGCUCAUUUAUCCAUCUCACACUAGGCCUGACAUAGCUUAUCCUGUUAUUGUUGUCAGUCAAUUCAUGCAUGACCCACAUGAGAGGCAUUUGGAUAGAAUCUUGCAGUAUCUGAAGGCAAGUCCAGGAAGAGGUCUACUGUUCAGGAAAAGUGAGUAAGCGGCGCAAUAGCGCUGUAGCGUAGCACCCUGGGGGUUCUCCACUUCUUGCAAGCUGGGAAUGAUUUAGAUAUCCAUUCACCAGCUUGAGAGCGAGUGUUGUAAUAUUAGAAUAUUAUUUGCUUUGAUAUUAUUUACUUUUAGGAGAUUUGUUUUUCUUUUAGGAGAUUAGAAGAGAUAUUGUAUAUAAUUACUUAUUUCCUUGAUUAGGUUGUCUAGCCUCUAUUAAUUGUAAUUAUCUAGUGUAUUUGUAUUCAAGCAAUAAUAUUAUAAUUUCUCCAA